GAAGUUGAGGGUACAGCCACAUCAUGAUCACAGAUACUUGGAAGAGAGACAGAA
rnacentral:sRNA from 1 species